GGGUUGUGAGGUUAAGCGACUAAGCGUACACGGUGGAUGCCCUGGCAGUCAGAGGCGAUGAAGGACGUGCUAAUCUGCGAAAAGCGUCGGUAAGGUGAUAUGAACCGUUAUAACCGGCGAUGUCCGAAUGGGGAAACCCAGUGCAAUUCGUUGCACUAUCGUUAACUGAAUACAUAGGUUAACGAGGCGAACCGGGGGAACUGAAACAUCUAAGUACCCCGAGGAAAAGAAAUCAACCGAGAUUCCCCCAGUAGCGGCGAGCGAACGGGGAGCAGCCCAGAGUCUGAAUCAGCUUGUGUGUUAGUGGAACGGUCUGGAAAGUCCGACGGUACAGGGUGAUAGUCCCGUACACCAAAAUGCACAGGUUGUGAACUCGAAGAGUAGGGCGGGACACGUGGUAUCCUGUCUGAAUAUGGGGGGACCAUCCUCCAAGGCUAAAUACUCCUGACUGACCGAUA
rnacentral:rRNA from 1 species